rnacentral:rRNA from 1 species
AUGGUACGGUCGGCGGCGGCGGUGGCGCCAAUUGCACAACGAGGAUGUUCCUCCUCCACCGACUCCCUCACGCACCCCGGCAGCAGCUGCUCCAUCGUUGGGUUUGCCGUUUCUCCAUCAUAUCCCUCACGAGCUGAAGAUGUUCUUCCUCCCCUGCCUCCCUCGAACACUGGAUCUAUUGUUCGGUUGCCGUCCACAUCCGCAAGGGCCCUAUCAAGAUCCUCCAAGAGCGAAGGGCUCCAAGAGGAACUAGCUGCAACUACGAGUGAAAAGCCUCAACAAGAUCCUCACCAAGAAACAAACGAUGCUGCAGUCACAAGUCCUAGAAAAAUCAACAAGGCAGUAUUGGUGGUUUGUGAGAACUAA